GCCCCAGCCGGUCGGUGGACGGACAUUUUUUCUCCCCAACCAGCAAGGAAGAGGAAGAGGAAGCGGAUCGAGUCGGCGAGAGCGAGGGCGAGGACGAUGGCGGCGCUCCGGCUAGCGUUGAGGAGGUUUUGCGACCGUGCGCUCGGGAGAUCAGCGGGCAUUUACGAGCUCAAGGCUGCCAAGGAAUUCCCCGACAUUGAUCCUGGGCAUCUCAAGGCUGCCAGGAAAUUCCCCAAACUUCGUGUCAAGGAUGCCGAUGCUACGGCUCUGAAUGUCUUCAAGAUUCUCCGGAACAGUCCAGUCGAUGGUCAUAAAGAUGUAACCCUUCGUGAAGUGCGCAUGACUCUGAGGACCUUGGCUGAGAUUCAGGAAGAAGAAGAAUGAAGAUGGCGCUACUAGGAAGCAAUAUCGUCUCUUGCUCUAAUAUGAACUAGCUUUGCAGUAUUGUAGUAUUUGAAUCUUUCCUAUGUUGUCGCUCUGUGUCUCGAUCUUCAAAACUGCUGGACGGAUGUGAUGUUUUGCUAUUUUCUUGCUUCGCAAGGUUGAAUCGUCCUUUGAUCUUGACAUGCCCACCAGAUUCGGGUGUAAGCUUUGGGGCUAGCAAUAGGGGCGGCAUGUACUUGGUAUUCGUAAGAUUUGCUGGAUGCUUGUACUCAGUUUCCUUAAAUUAUAAAAUACUAUAUGGUAAUGGAAUGGAUCAUUUGGAAAGAAAGAAGAUUUGAUUGGUGGUGCAAGCCAUUGA